UUGCUGCCGAGGCUGACCUGCACGGUGCCGAUGUUCUGCGCGAAAUUGUCGACGAACUUGCCGUAGACCGAGAUGUCGAUCGCCCGCUGGCCGACGAUCCAGUAGUGCCCGAACUCGGCGCCUGCGAGCACACGGGCGCGUUCGCCAUGUCCAUCGGCAACCGUCACUGGAAGAAAUCCGCCGGAUUCGGAGAAACGGUCGGUG
rnacentral:misc_RNA from 1 species